GUUCUUGUAGUUAAAUUUUUAUAACGAUGGUUUUUCAGGCCGCAGAUCUCGGAGAGAGGCCGAGCAAGAAUU
rnacentral:tRNA from 1 species